CCUACGGGAGGCAGCAGUAGGGAAUUUUGCGCAAUGGGCGAAAGCCUGACGCAGCAACGUCGCGUGAACGAGACGCCCUCCGUGGUGUAUAGUUUUGUCAUUUGGGACGAUAAAUUACGGCACCCACAGAGUAAUCACCGGCUCAAUCCGUGACAGCAGCCGCGGUCACACGGAGGGUGCAAGCGUUGUCCGGAAUCUUUGGGCGUAAAGGGUUCGUAGGCGGGAUGUAAGGUCAGGUGUUAAAGGCGCAGGCUCAACCUGUGUAUGGCACUUGAUACUUGCGCGCUGGAGUGCGGUAGAGGUAAAGGGAAUUCCUGGUGUAGCGGUGAAAUGCUUAGAUAUCAGGAGGAACAUCGGUGGCGUAAGCGCUUUACUGGGGCGUAAUUGACGCUGAGGAACGAAAGCGAGGGUAGCAAAUGGGAUUAGAUACCCCGGUAGUC
rnacentral:rRNA from 1 species